AGGGCGGCCUCCGAGUUCCAGAGAUGGCGGCCUUCUUUCUGCUCCGGCAAGGACGAGCCCGGGCGCUGAAGACUAUGCUCCUAGAAGGACAAGUGUUUCGAGGACUUGCUCCUACAGCUUCUCUCUCUGCAGAAUCAGGAAAGAGUGACAAGGGACUGCCACCGAAUUCCAAGAAGCAAAGUCCACCAAAAAAUGUAGUGGACCCAAAGGAGAGGGGCAAGCUACUAACCACCCCAAGAGCAGCCGAAUUGUCUAAAAAGUUAACUUCACCCAGUUCUUACUCAUCAGUUGUGAAUCAAGGUGGGACAGUAGGUAGCCCUAACCCUGAUGACAACGUACUAUUCACAGAUGAAGGGGUUCCAAAGCUUUUGUCAAGAAAGACUUUGGUAGAGUUUCCUCAGAAAGUUCCAGCUUCAUUCAGAAAACAGGGCUCCAGUUCAGAAGCUCCUCAGAAGAGCCGGAAAGUGACGGACAGUUCAUCUUCCUCUUCCUCCAGCUCCUCCGAUUCAGAGUCUGACGAGGAGGGGGUUGGCUCAAAAGUUGAUUCUCAAGUGAUGAGCAAAGGCAGAGGAAGGGCUCCAAUACCAGAAGCCUCCCAUCCCUUUGAAAAGAGAGCCCCGCAGAUUUCAAAAUCAGCAACAGAGAAGACCUGGUCACCACAGCCCCAUCUGGACCUCCCCUCUCCAGAGAAGCCCCAUCAGGCAAAGAAGAAAGGGACGUCCAUUAAGCCACUGAAGGACAGAAAAGACGAACCGAAACCCACAGUGCCCAAGCCACAAGUAGAUGAAGAGUUUAUGAAGCAAAAUGUGAAGGAAAAAGAGCCCCAGAAACUAUUUAGCUCAAGUAAAGUAGGUAAAGAAAGCCAAACAGCAUCUGAAGGUAAAAAAAGUUCAUCUGACCACGCAAAAUCAGGAUUAGCUACACAGCCGAGUGGUGGCCCAGGGCCCAAGCGAUCGACAGUAGGAACCACUGCAGGGAGACAGCUGCAAGCAGCUCCUCCUGAGACCAGGGGAAGACACCUAGAAAAACAAGCGCCAGAGCCUGGUGGGGAGGUGGCCCUUUUCCCGGUCAGAAAAGAAAAUUUGGGGAAGCAGGUAAUAGAAGGAAUCUCAAAGGCUAACGAAGAGAUUUUGGAAGAUCAGGUACUGAUGAAAAAUUUGAAGCCAGUUCCUGUUCAUAAUAAAGAUGCUUUUGAUGAAAAGACAGCAGUACUAAAGCUUGAGGCAAAGGGCGAAGUCAUGGAAGACUCGGCAACCCAAGUGGGAGACCAGGACGGCACACCGGGUACAUAUGCCUUGACUGUUGAGAACAGCUUGUCCUUCGGGGGUGGUUAGGCUGAAGAACUGUAGGAUAUUAAGGAGGAUAUACAGAUUCUGUAGCAGAAAUAUGGCCUAUAACUCUCAGAUAAGCAGAGGAGUCUCUCUGAAUUAUGAAUAAUACACACCUUAUAUACAUGACCCCUAAAACAUUUGACAUUUAUUUUACAGGGAAAAAGGAGGCCCUUGGCACUCUUAACUGUUCCUUAACCAGGAUAAUUUUGAAAGCUGGCAGUGUAACUCGGCACCCUUGCCUUUGGAGGGUGUGCCAGUGUCCGCUUCAUGACCUUGCAGAGUUGCAGGGGGGGGUCCUGUUUAAUGUGAAGGGUGAUAGCUACACUUGGUCCAGGGGUCCUCAGGUGAGCUAACAGGUGAUAACUUUCAGCAUCCUUGUGCCUGAGGGAAAACCCGCAUAUUAGGGAUUCAAGUAAUUACAAGUGACUCAAGGCAGCCAUGGCCUGGGUAAAUCUUUUCACCGGAUUUUUCCCUUUUUGUUUUACCUGAAAACAGUGGGCUGCUUUAGUUUUCUGUAAUGAAUUUUUAUGAAGGGCUUUUUCCCUACCACAGAUUUUUAAAGGGAAAGUGUUUAUUUCUGUUAUGUAACCAUUUUGUUGUGCAUUGAACUUCAUAAAAUACAGUGUGCUUUAGGUAGGUCAUGGCAAAACAGUAAAGGUCUCAACUUUUAGGAUCUAUCUCCUUAAGAUGCCUUUAAAAUGCAUUACUAACAAACCCACCUCCGUCCUGUCUGUUCUUUAUAAUUUUUAAGGAGCAUGCUUUUUUGCCUCAUAUACAUUACCUGGUCAUUGUUAUCAUUUGUGUUAUGUUGACAGAAUUUACGUGUUUUCUUCCCUCCUUUUUCUCCGUUUGUCAUUAAUAUGCAAAGUGCCGGCACUUACCAGACUGCUCAGGACCUCAAGAACUGCAUUGCCUGCUACUCCUAUUUCCGUCAUUCUGUUGCAUGAGGAAAACCCAAACCUUCAGGAGGAAAACAGAAUUUGGGGUUUUCAGGUUGCAAAUAUUUUUGAAAAAACUUUGCUUCUGAUUUUUCGUGGACGUGUAUUUUCUGAUAUUCUCCUUGCCCUUUGGAGGCACAUGAAGCUGCCCGGGAGCGCAGAGGCUGUGUCUGCGCUGGACUGAAUGUCGCUACGUCCACCUGGCUCCAUGCCUCUGGGGGCAUCGGUUUUUGAUGAGUUUUCUGUACCCAUGUUUACCUUCACUUUGAAGAUGCCCCUACACCACAUCGAAGAUACUCUACUCGUGGAGAUUGGAAAGAUGUCAGUUCUUUAAAUAACACAUUUUGUUUAAUACAACUAAGAAAAAUGAAAAAGCUUUUGAGCCCGCACAGGCCGCCGCUCCCCCUGAGCCGUUUGACAACACCACCUACAAGAAUCUCCAGCAUCAUGACUA